CGCUGGCCGGCCUCCUCACCGAGGCCCCCUGGAGACAGGGAGCANNCCGNCGGCGGCCAAACAAACUCUUGUUUCUUAGUGAAUCUCUGAGUAAAAAACAUAAUGAAUCAAAACUUUCAACAACGGAUCUCUUGGUUCUGGCAUCGAUGAAGAACGCAGCGAAAUGCGAUAAGUAAUGUGAAUUGCAGAAUUCAGUGAAUCAUCGAAUCUUUGAACGCACAUUGCGCCCUCUGGUAUUCCGGAGGGCAUGCCUGUUCGAGCGUCAUUUCAACCCUCAAGCCUGGCUUGGUGUUGGGGCACCGCCUUUGCAAAAGGGCGGGCCCUGAAAUCUAGUGGCGAGCUCGCCAGGACCCCGAGCG
rnacentral:rRNA from 1 species